UACGUAGGGUGCGAGCGUUGUCCGGAUUUAUUGGGCGUAAAGGGCUCGUAGGCGGUCUGUCGCGUCGGCUGUGAAAACCCGGGGCUCAACCCCGGGCCUGCAGUCGAUACGGGCAGACUAGAGUGCGGUAGGGGAGACUGGAAUUCCUGGUGUAGCGGUGAAAUGCGCAGAUAUCAGGAGGAACACCGGUGGCGAAGGCGGGUCUCUGGGCCGUAACUGACGCUGAGGAGCGAAAGCGUGGGGAGCGAACAGG
rnacentral:rRNA from 1 species